UAUUGCACAAUGAGCGAAAGCCUGAUGCAGCAACGCCGCGCGAGUGAUGAAGGCCUUCGCGUCGUAAAGCUCUUUGACCAGGGAUGAUAACGACAGUACCUGAAAACCAAGACACGGCCAACUACGUGCCAGCAGCCGCGGUCAUACGUAGGUGGGGAGCGUUGUCCGGAAUUACUGGGCGUAAAGGAUGCGUAGGUGGAUACUUAAGUGGGAUUUGAAAUCCCCUGGCGCCACCCGGGAACUGCAUACCAAACUGAGUAUCUAGAGUGCAGGAGAGGAAAGCGGAAUUCCUAAUGUAGCGUUGAAAUGCGUAGAUAUUAGGAGAAACACCAGUGAAGAAGGCGGCUUUCUGGACUGUAACUGACACUGGGGCAUGAAAGCGUGGGGAGCAAACAGG
rnacentral:rRNA from 1 species